AGUCUGAAGAUAUUAUUUUAGAUUAAACCUGCCCAGUGCUAAAAUUUAGUAAAUGGCCGCAGUACUCUGACUGUGCUAAGGUAGCGUAAUCAGUUGGCUUUUAAUUGAAGUCGUGUAUGAAUGGAUUAAUGGGGCUAGGCUGUCUCUUUAAGGUUUAAUUGAAGUUAAUUAGAGGGUGAAAAUACCCUUAAAAGGAUAAAGGACGAUAAGACCCUUGGAGUUUUUACUAAAGAGCUAAACUGUAGCUUAAGGUUUUUGCUGGGGCGGCAAAGAGGUAUUCGUAGCCCUCUUUAAUAAUCAGCCGAAAGUUUUAAGUGCAUUUAAACUACCCGAGGGAUAACAGCAUUAUUUUUUAUAGAGUUUGUGACCUCGAUGUUGGACUAGGAAUUUACUAGACUAGCCGUUUAGAUAUAUGGUUCUGUUCGAACCGUUUUUCC
rnacentral:rRNA from 1 species